CAAACAUACUUUGAACAACAAACACGAGGAACAACAACGACCACAACGAGGAUGAUGAUGGGCUGCUGGAAAUGCAAAAAAGGGAGAUACAACAGCUACAACAGAUACUUGUAACUAAAGUGACAUGAGGCCUUAGCAACAAAAGCAACACCCAAACAACAACAACAAAAGACAACAGCAACAACAGAAGCAACCGUAGAGCACUAAAAACCAAAUUACAAACAAUUAAAAGAGAACACGGAGAAGGAUCCUCCAGAGAGCUUGACAACGGUAGAGGCGGCGCACCCACAAAGCUAAAAGGAAUAACCACCCGACCCACAGCCUGAAAACCCCCCAGAAGAGUAACAGAAGUGGGUGGAGCAGCAGCAACGAGGAGGAGGAGGCAGAGGAGGAGGAGUAGCAGCAGCAGCAACUGUAACGAGUAAAGCGGAAGGUGGAGGAGUAUCGCAGCAGCGGCCUACAUGCCUAUAGCAGCAGCAGUAACCAAAACAGCAGCAGCAACGUUUAUGGCCAACUAAAACUAAAUAGCGGCCACCCCAGAACCAAACCAAACCAGAGGAAAGACCCCCGGCCGGGGCACAGUACUAGCAGUGGUGACACAUAGUUCAUCAUCUGCAUUCCAACCAUUUGCCAGGACCUUUUGUGUCUUUCUGUCGCAUCACAAACAGGCACACACAAACAAUAGCAACAACAACAACAGGCAAAGGCAAAGG